CUCUGUGCGCGCGCGCGGGGGGCUGCGCUCCCGGGGCUUAUUUCUUCUUUUCCUUUCCUUUUUCUUUUUUCUUUUUUCUCUUCCCUCCGAACGGGGUGUGUAUUUGCUCGCCCUUAGGUGGGCAGUUCUCAGAGCCCCUCCCCAGCCUGAUACGUUCGCUUAGAAAGUGUCCAGCCCGGCUCACGCAGCGGACCCGCACCCCGAGUGCGCUCGGCCGGGCCCCCGGGUGAGGGUCCCAGGGAAGACGGUCCUCCCCAGCACCAGCGCCUACCCGCACCCCAAGACACAAAAGCUGGCGCAGGAAGCUCGGGGAGCGCGCGUGUGUCAACUCCAACGUUCGCGCCGGCCCAGGCGGCGGGUAUCUUCAAGCCUGUGAAUGAGCCAGAUGCCGGUUGUCGCGCCCCGGUGCCCGGCGUGAGAAGGGCCGCGCCCAUCCGCCACGGGCAUGCCCCGCCAGCCU
rnacentral:lncRNA from 1 species